rnacentral:misc_RNA from 1 species
GAAGGCAUUUCUGUGGAGCAAAUGGUAUUUCUUAGGCAGUUGCUCUCUUCUUUGAGUUCAUCCUUUAGUUCACUUUGAGAAUUGAGUAAUGUUUUUACUAAUUUACUUGUAUUUUAGCUGCAUUUGGUAAUUUCACUAAAAAUUCCUGUCAUUUUGGUAUGCGUUGCAUGUACAUUUACUUUUACUUUUCUGCAUUUAAGAUCAAUAGUGUACUUAAAAAUCGAACACGCUUUAUCGCUUUCG